GCCCUUUUCCGGUUGAUCCUGCCGGACCUGACUGCUAUCGGAUUGAUACUAAGCCAUGCGAGUUUUUGUAGUAAUACAAGGCAGACGGCUCAGUAACACGUAGUCAAUCUAACCUAUGGACGAGGAUAACCCCGGGAAACUGGGAAUAAUACUCGAUAGAUCAUUAUGCCUGGAACGGUUUAUGGUUCAAAUGAAUUUCGCCAUAGGGNGNGACUGCGGUCUAUCAGCUUGUUGGUGAGGUAAUGNCCCACCAAGGCUAUAACAGAUACGGGCUCUGAGAGGAGAAGCCCGGGGAUGGGUACUGAGACACGGACCCAGGCCCUAUGGGGCGCAGCAGGCGAGAAAACUUUGCAAUGUGCGAAAGCACGACAAGGUUAAUCCGAGUGAUUCCUGCUAAAGGAAUCUUUUGUUAGUCAUAACACCACUGAUGAAUAAGGGGUGGGCAAGUUCUGGUGUCAGCCGCCGCGGUAAAACCAGCACCUCAAGUGGUCAGGAGGAUUAUUGGGCCUAAAGCAUCCGUAGCCGGCUUUGUUAGUUUUCGGUCAAAUCUAUAUGCUCAACAUAUAGGCUGCCGGGAAUACUACAAAGCUAGGGAGUGGGAGAGGUAGACGGUACUCCG
rnacentral:rRNA from 1 species